GAUCUGGCUCAGGACGAACGCUGGCGGCGUGCCUAAUACAUGCAAGUCGAGCGGACGGAUGGGAGCUUGCUCCCUGAAGUCAGCGGCGGACGGGUGAGUAACACGUGGGCAACCUGCCUGUAAGACUGGGAUAACUUCGGGAAACCGGAGCUAAUACCGGAUAAUGCACAACCUCUCAUGAGGCUAUGCUGAAAGAUGGUUUCGGCUAUCACUUACAGAUGGGCCCGCGGCGCAUUAGCUAGUUGGUGAGGUAACGGCUCACCAAGGCAACGAUGCGUAGCCGACCUGAGAGGGUGAUCGGCCACACUGGGACUGAGACACGGCCCAGACUCCUACGGGAGGCAGCAGUAGGGAAUCUUCCGCAAUGGACGAAAGUCUGACGGAGCAACGCCGCGUGAGUGAUGAAGGUUUUCGGAUCGUAAAACUCUGUUGUCAGGGAAGAACAAGUGCCGGAGUAACUGCCGGCACCUGACCG
rnacentral:rRNA from 1 species